GCAAUUUUGCAAUCUUGGUUGAAAAAAAUAAAGUAGUUUGAGACCAGGUUCUGUGUCAGAAUAAGUUCAUCGGUGUAAGAAAAUGUCUGAAAGCAUAGAUUACAUCUUCCAUAUUCAAAUAAGCAGAAAUAAAAUUGCUUACUGGGUGACCACAUAACAGAAGUUGUAAAGAGUGUUCUAGUUGACACAUGGGGAUGUACAUCAUGCAUCCUUCAGGUAAAUUGUGUAGUGACAAAUGGUCUGGAGGUGGGGACAGCCCAUCCAGCAGUUCCCAUCUCAUGGUUUAAUACAACCAAAUCUACCACUUAACAUUGCGUGUAUACCUUUCCAACAAUUGGAUGUUUGGAAUGCAUUGACAACAAAAGCAAAAGAUGGGAAAAUUUGGAAUAAAUUUAUGGCAAAGAAUGGACAAAAAUGAUGGUGAUGAUGAUGGAAGAGUUUGAUGCUAAUGGUGUUUAAUAAGCUAUCUCUAUCAAACUACAAUAUUGAUUUUGUCUUUCACCAUAAUGAUUAUAAUGUUGUGCAUAUUAAUGACUCAUAACAUUGCAGAUUAGUGAACCUGCAUAUAUUAAUAGCUGCUAUCACUAGCUUGAAAAUUGAGGUUUGAAUUGCUUUGUUAAAGCAAUUUGCUGCAUAUGGAUGCGUAAUGUGUUCAAUAUUUUUGGUUAGAGCAUCUGUUUGAUCAUAGGAAUGAUUAAUUGAUUAUCAAUAAACUGGUCAAUGAUAAAAGUUGUGAGGGAUAAUUUUCAAUUCAAAUGUUUUCAGUUACCAUCUCAACUUUUCAUCUUUUUUAUAAAGUUCAAUUCUAACUACAGGGAUCUAGACUCACAGCUUUUG
rnacentral:misc_RNA from 1 species